ensembl:lncRNA
CUACUUACAUGCACCGAUUGAUUAUGAAAUUUAUAUGGAACAGCCAGAGGGGUAUGAUGAAAAAUCUCAGACAAAUGAGAAGAUAGUGUGUAAAUUGGAGAAAUCAUUGUAUGGGCUAAAACAAUCAGGUCGAAACUGGAACAAAAUGUUACAUAACUAUCUGUGCGAAAACAUCUUUGUACAAAACCCAGCUGAUCAUUGUGUUUACAAGAGAGAAACAGAACAUGGGAAAGUGAUAAUAUUGAUAUGGGUUGAUGAUUUGGUUAUUGCUGCCAGUGAUGAGAGAGCUUUAAAAACUGUCAAAGAGAUGCUUACUAGGAAAUUCCACAUGAAAGAUUUGGGAGAACUGAAGAAUUUUCUAGGUAUAAUUUUUGAUCAGUGUGAUGGGGGUGUGACUAUGUCACAGCAGAGUUAUGUUGGGAAACUGCUGGAAAGAUUUGACAUGCAAGAUUGUAAACCCAGGUUGACACCUUGUGAACCAAAGUUGAAUUACACCGAUGGUAAUGUAAAACUGAUUGACCCCAGAAAAUACAGAGAGGUGGUGGGUAGUUUAAUCUACCUAACCUCAUGCACUAGACCUGAUCUGAGUUAUGUUGUUAGCAAAUUGUCCCAGUAUUUCAGUGAGCCAACAGAAGAACAGUGGAUAACUGUAAAGCAUGUACUGAAAUAUCUGAAAGGUACAAAUGACAAGAUGCUUUGUUACAGGAAAUGUGAUGAAGGGUUAAGGUUGGUGACUUAUAGUGAUGCAGAUUGGGCAGGUGAUGAAAAUGAUAGAUGUAGUACAUCUGGUUACUGUGUUAGCCUAUGUAAGUGGGUCCUCUGAUUUCUUGGAAGACCAAAAAGCAGCCAACUGUAGCAUUAUCAACGUGAGGCUGAGUACAUGGCCUUAGCUGCCACUAUACAAGAGUGUUUGUACUUGAAACAACUGCUUGAACAUCUUGAUGAUUAUCAGUAUGGUGUACCUAUGAUUUAUGAAGACAACCAAGGUACAAUUGCAUUGGCAAAGAAUCCUGUUAGCAG